UACGUAGGGCGCAAGCGUUAUCCGGAAUUAUUGGGCGUAAAGAGCUCGUAGGCGGUUUGUCGCGUCUGCCGUGAAAGUCCGGGGCUCAACUCCGGAUCUGCGGUGGGUACGGGCAGACUAGAGUGAUGUAGGGGAGACUGGAAUUCCUGGUGUAGCGGUGAAAUGCGCAGAUAUCAGGAGGAAUACCUAUGGCGAAAGCAGGUCUCUGGGCCAUAACUGACGCUGAGCUGCGAAAGAGUGGGGAGCGAACAGG
rnacentral:rRNA from 1 species